rnacentral:sRNA from 1 species
AUGGCCUGGUCCAGUAAGUCUUGGCUUUGUCUUAUAGCCUCCUCCUGUCCCAGGGACACUCUCCUUCCUUCUGCCCAUCAUGCCUCACCUGUCCCUGCUUCUCACCUGACUCAGGUAUCUAAUGGCUGUGUGAGCAAGAUCCUAGGGCGUUACUACCGCACAGGUGUCUUGGAGCCCAAGGGCAUUGGGGGAAGCAAGCCACGGCUGGCUACACCCCCUGUGGUGGCUCGAAUUGCCCAGCUGAAGGGUGAGUGUCCAGCCCUCUUUGCCUGGGAAAUCCAACGCCAGCUUUGUGCUGAAGGGCUUUGCACCCAGGACAAGACUCCCAGUGUCUCCUCCAUCAACCGAGUCCUGCGGGCAUUACAGGAGGACCAGGGACUACCGUGCACACGGCUCAGGUCACCAGCUGUUUUGGCUCCAGCUGUCCUCACUCCCCAUAGUGGCUCUGAGACUCCCCGGGGUACCCACCCAGGGACCAGCCACCGGAAUCGGACUAUCUUCUCCCCAAGCCAAGCAGAGGCACUGGAGAAAGAGUUCCAGCGUGGGCAGUAUCCUGAUUCAGUGGCCCGUGGAAAGCUGGCUACUGCCACCUCUCUGCCUGAGGACACGGUGAGGGUCUGGUUUUCCAACAGAAGAGCCAAAUGGCGUCGGCAAGAGAAGCUCAAGUGGGAAAUGCAGCUGCCAGGUGCUUCCCAGGGGCUGACUGUACCAAGGGUUGCCCCAGGAAUCAUCUCUGCACAGGUACUCGGGAGGAGAGGGGAGUCUGUGCCCUGGGAAGACUGAAGGGCUCAUGGGCUCUUCCAUUUCUGGCCUGAGCCAGGAUCUCCGGCUCUCCAGGGCCCCACAGUGUUCAUGUCAAGAAAGUACUAACCCGAAGUCUACUAUGUGAACGGUGCCCUCUGGAGUUGUGCAGGAUACUACUUGGGUGGCAGGCA